rnacentral:rRNA from 1 species
CCUACGGGUGGCAGCAGUAGGGAAUCUUCCACAAUGGGCGAAAGCCUGAUGGAGCAACGCCGCGUGGGUGAAGAAGGUCUUCGGAUCGUAAAACCCUGUUGUUAGAGAAGAAAGUGCGUGAGAGUAACUGUUCACGCUUCGACGGUAUCUAACCAGAAAGCCACGGCUAACUCCGUGCCAGCAGCCGCGGUCAUACGUAGGUGGCAAGCGUUAUCCGGAUUGAUUUGGCGUAAAGGGAACGCAGGCGGUCUUUUAAGUCUGAUGUGAAAGUCUUCGGCUUAACCGGAGUAGUGCAUUGGAAACUGGGAGACUUGAGUGCAGAAGAGGGGAGUGGAACUCGAGGUGUAGCGGUGAAAUGCGUAGAUAUAAGGAAGAACACCAGUGGCGAAGGCGGCUCUCUGGUCUGUGACUGACGCUGAGGUUCGAAAGCGUGGGUAGCAAACAGGAUUAGAUACCCGGGUAGUC